UGAUAGCAAUGAAACGAGAAGUUGCUGCGAAGCGAAAGCUAAGCAGGUUAUUCCGUGGAGCGAAUGUCAAAAACCGAUACAACCCAUCGGUUUCAACAAAAUGGCGACAA
rfam:Bacteroides pectinophilus CAG:437 genomic scaffold, scf43